AUGAACGCUGGCGGCGUGCCUAAUACAUGCAAGUCGAGCGAACGGACGAGAAGCUUGCUUCUCUGAUGUUAGCGGCGGACGGGUGAGUAACACGUGGAUAACCUACCUAUAAGACUGGGAUAACUUCGGGAAACCGGAGCUAAUACCGGAUGAUCUUUUGAACCGCAUGGUUCAAAAGUGAAAGACGGUCUUGCUGUCACUUAUAGAUGGAUCCGCGCUGCAUUAGCUAGUUGGUAAGGUAACGGCUUACCAAGGCAACGAUGCAUAGCCGACCUGAGAGGGUGAUCGGCCACACUGGAACUGAGACACGGUCCAGACUCCUACGGGAGGCAGCAGUAGGGAAUCUUCCGCAAUGGGCGAAAGCCUGACGGAGCAACGCCGCGUGAGUGAUGAAGGUCUUCGGAUCGUAAAACUCUGUUAUUAGGGAAGAACAUAUGUGUAAGUAACUGUGCACAUCUUGACGGUACCUAAUCAGAAAGCCACGGCUAACUACGUG
rnacentral:rRNA from 1 species